UACCCGCAGCACAAGUGGUGGUCAUUAUUAUUGGGCCUAAAGCGUCCGUAGCUGGCCUGGUAGCUGCCUGGGUAAAUCGAAUCGCUCAACGGUUCGAAUUCCGGGUAGACCGCCAGGCUCGAGACCGGGAGAGAUGUGGGCUACUCGAGGGGUAGGGGUAAAAUCCUGUAAUCCUUCGGGGAGGACCAGUGGCGAAGGCGCCACAUUUGAACGGCUCUGACAGUGAGGGACGAAGCCCUGGGGCGCAAACCGG
rnacentral:rRNA from 1 species